UUUUAUUUCUUCUUCAUCUUCAUGACCGAAACUAAACAAAAGAAAAAGAAAGAAGAACCUAGCUACAUUCGGCCAUUUUAAAUUUUAAUUAAGAUCAAGAACCAAAGAAAUCGGAGCUAGAUCGGGGAAAAACCAAAAUCGUCGACUAAUUAUCCGAUUUCAAUUUUUCACUGUCCGAGAUUUUGGAGACGCAUUACGAGCUCGGGGAUCAUCAGCAUAAUCUAUCACACUAUCGACCGUCUUUGGUAUUUUAUAUAUUUUGAACUCGAACCUAUGACAUGUAUAGUCUAGUUAAUAUGUUUAAAUUUUUGGGAUAUGUGAAUAUGAGCCAUGCGAAAAUGGCUUAUCUCUUUUCGUUUUGAAUUUGGUAUUAACGAAUAUGUUUUAAUGGUCUAUUUCCUAUGCUUAAAUUCGGUUUAGUUAAAAAUGGCUUGAUCAUUAUGUUUAAA